GCCGAGGUCCUCUUCCAGGAUUGGCUACCUCCUCAUAACCAUAAGAUAAUUAAAACUUGGCGGGGGGGGGGGGCAGGGUUAAAAAAACUUUUUUUAUCAGUCAGAGGAUAAUGCAAGUGUUUAACAGAUGCUUCACUAUUAAAAUAUUUUCCCCCCAAGUCUCAAAUAUUGAAGAAUCUCUAACCAGUGGAAGUGACUCUGACCGUUCCCUUAAGAAUCUUUAAUGCUCUUACAUGAGAUGAGCCUCAGAACAAGCUAAGAACCAUCGAAAGAACAUCAAGCCUGGAAGGUGACAGAAGGAGCAAUGUGUUCUUGAAGAUGUCACCUCAGCCCACCUGCUCCAAGGACAGUGCUUCUUGCGACACUCUGAUAGCUCUGCAUUCUUUUCUGUACCAGGAAGGCACAGAUCAUUCAUGGGGAUGUAUAACCGAAACCAGUCCUCUCCACCGCCUGGGGAUCUUCACUUUCGCAGUCUACGACUGCCUGUGACUCCAGAAAGACAAACUGCAGAUUGGCCAAGCUGCCUGAAGACCCAGCCCGACAGCGAUGCCUGUCAGCCCGCGUCGCCCACCAGGGCAGCUGCUCUCCCAACUCGCAUGGGGGGCACCACCCCGCCUCGGUGCCCUAGAGCUGAGCGCAGCCGCGGCUCCACGGGGAUCGCCAGGGCCUCAGCCCUCGCGGCCGGCGGCGCGGGAGUGUUGCGGGGCAGGGACCAGAGCGCGAUCAGAGCGGCCACCCCCGAUUUAGGUCGCCAGCUUUCCAGUCACUGCGAUGGCCACUGGGGCGCCCCUUCCAUCCUGGUUAAAUUCUCAUUGUGAUCCCCAGCCCUCUUCUCGGUUCCCCACACCCAGGAGGCCGGUUCUCCGCCGCUCAGGCUGGGAGAGGUCACCGCUCCGGGCAGGGUGGACCCCCAGCUCCGUCUCGGAGGACCUUUCGCCGGAGGCGAGCAGGAAGGGGUUAACCAUGAGCCUCCCACCCUCACCUCCCAGACCCUGGUGCCGGGCUAAGGCCUCCGCUUCCCUCCUGAGGUCUCAUUAGGAAACCCUCACCGCUAUUUUCAACAUUUCCUCAAUCAAGUGCCUUUAAAUAGAGCUGCACAAACAGAUUGGCGGCAAAAGCGUAGAUCUUGUCACGAUUGAGACCAAUCCAGUAUUUCAGCCUUGUUUGCUUUGCAAUUACGGGUUGGCUUGUGGCUACGGUGCCACCGGGGCAAAUCUGCAGCCGCUCGCUUUCUCCUCUGCGCUCCGGGCGGGUGGAGGAAGCGACCCGCGGAGUCACUGCAGGGAGGAGAGGGGGACGCGCGCGGGGGGAGGCGGCGGAGGGCGGAGGAGACUCGCUUGCACCCCAGGGCCGCGGGCACGCAGAGCUGUGUUGAAGGACAUACUUUUCAGGUUCCUGACAGUCACUGAGCUAUACGCAAUAAUAAAGUGCGUGAUUCGCGUGU
rnacentral:lncRNA from 1 species